AUAUUUUCUCAGCCAAAACGCCAUAGAAGAUCAAGAAUCCAAAGAAGGACGAGGAAAAGAAAAAGUUGCGGAAUAGUCCCUAAAUUUCAAUAUCUUCUACAAAUUAGCCGGAUUGACUUGAAGUGAAGUGGGUAGAUCGGAUCAACACAACAAAGCACACUAUCCAGAUCAAUUCCGGUAGCUUUUGUUUUAUGUUUGAAGAUUUAUAUGGCAUGUAUAGAGUUUAAAUGAAAUGAAGUAAAGAUGUUAUAAACUAGUUAACAACAUUUUGU